GCCUCUGUAGCUCAGUUGGUUAGAGCUCUGUGCACCCCGGAAUCACAGGGUCGCAGGUUCGAUUCCUACCAGAGGGU